rnacentral:rRNA from 1 species
CCCUUAGAUGUUCUGGGCUGCACGCGCGCUACACUGAUGCACUCAACGAGUUUACGACCUUGCCCGAUAGGGUUGGGUAAUCUUUUUAAAAUGCAUCGUGAUGGGGAUAGAUUAUUGCAAUUAUUAAUCUUCAACGAGGAAUUCCUAGUAAGCGCGAGUCAUCAGCUCGUGCUGAUUACGUCCCUGCCCUUUGUACACACCGCCCGUCGCUCCUACCGAUUGAGUGCUCAGGUGAAUAAUUCGGACUGCAGCAAUGUUUGGAUCCCGAACGUUGCAGCGGAAAGUUUAGUGAACCUUAUCACUUAGAGGAAGGAGAUGUCGUAACA